AAACCUUUGUUUCUGUCACUUUCAGCUGUGAUAGACAACGCCUAUAAGAUCAUAGCACACAGCUACCUCAAACAUCUGCUUCAGAACAGUCUGUUCAAGCUGAGGCGCUGGAGCGCGGACGUAGGACCAGCCGUUUCUAUGGACGCCUGUCGGCUUCACCAAACCAUGGAGAACUUGGCCCCCGGAGUUCAAGAGAGGAACGGCAUUCUGCUCAGAAUCAAAGAGUUGCUGGAGUGUGAAGACACUGACGGACUGAAGCUCACCAUGGCCUUCAUGGAGCAGGAAUGCACUCAGCACAAUGCGGACCUGGACCUCCUGCCUAAACUGCUUCAGUGGAAGGGUCUCUCCAGGCAGGAGGUGAAGGAGGUGAUGGGCGCUCUACGUGAUGCUGAGGAAGAAGGUUGUGCCUGGUGGAGGGACCUUACCUGCUGCGUCUCUACCUGCCGUCAGCAACAGAAACCAAACAUUUGAAAUUCAAAUAACUUUAUCUGUCAGGAACUUCAUUUGGAGAAGAAACGUCAGAACAACACAUACAUAAUUUGUUUAAAACACAUCAUUCGCCGGCAAAACUGUCCUUGUGUGUUUAGAUCAGCAGCCGAGACAGAGCAGAAGCAGCUGAACUGUUCUGCUUUCAGGGAAAACUGCAGCUGAGAAAAUACACACCGUCCCCAGAGAUGGAACAUCCAUUAUUUAUUGGAUUCAGCUCAUAUUAUGCUACAUUGCAAGCACUUUAUUAGAAGGAGGAGCACAAUGAAUCUGUAAAUAUUCCAAAUGCAGUAAUGGAUGACAAAAGCACCUUUCUUCUGGUUUAAAGCUGAACUAUUGAGAGCUGAAGGACAGAAACAGCUGCAUCGCUCUGUCAUGGACGACUUUGUUUGCUUGUUUGACCUCUUUUCACUUCAUAUUGAAUGAUGCUGUUUUUGUUUUUAAACUUUGUUGUGUUUGUUGGUUUCUGGACGCUGUUUGCAGAAGGAAUGUGAGCACACUGUUCUUCAGGAGGAAGUGCUGCUAUUGUGCACCUCUGCCACUAGGUGGAGCAACACGCCUUCCUAAAAAACUAGACGACCAUUCAUGUUGAGGCCCUUUACUAGAGUUUUUCUUUUUCUCACAGUUUUUCAGUUUUUGUACAAAAACAGAGAGGAGACGAAAAUAAAGUGCUGGAAGCGUAAAGCAGGUUCUGGUGUUUUACUGUAGAUGGAGCUGAGACGUCCUGCUGUCUGGACCUCUCCUGACCUCUCCUGACCUCUCCCUCUCCUGACCUCUCCUGACCUCUCCUGCAUCCUAACAUCAAACUUCUGCAUUCCUCACUAC
rnacentral:lncRNA from 1 species